CCACCCAGUCCUGGGCUUGCUCGAGAAAGAAACAGAUUCUUAUGAAAUGGGGGUCUCUGAGGACAGUUUCACAGGGAGAGCAACCCUGGUGUUCCUGAAAAAUACGCCACAGACGGACUCUUCAGGGACUCUGGUCAACAAUGUGUCCUGAGAGCCCUGACAGAAGCAUGGGCCAUGAAGUUCUUUGUUCUUAAAGCUCCUCAGUUAACCAGGGCUCUCAGAACCAGCCUUGAGGGCACUGCAGCAAAGAGAGAGCCCGACUACGGUCUUCUCCACCAGGACCUAGCAUAUGGGAAACACUCAAUACAAACAGAAUAAAAGGAUUCUGAAUGACAAGAGGAGUAGUUUUCUUAAUUCUGAGCAGAGGGAAUGACGCUUUGGACAACAUGGCGGUGAGAGCAUGCCAGAGAGCCAGAAAUCUCACGGGUGAGGUGAGCCCCCGGUUUGUUCGUCCUGAAGCAACCCUCGCCUGCCUAGGCUCCCGGCAGGAACAGGAAGAAGUCUGCAUUCAAGCUGUCUUUGCCUUCCAAAGAACCCAAACACUACAAAUCCAUAAUGCAUGCUAGAAGACUUACUCCCACAUGCAUCUCAAAACUGGAAAAUAAAAUAAGAAUGUUAUGAUGAA